UUUUUAGAGAUCAAAUCAAGAAAAUUAAAUGCUACCUCGAUGUUGAAUUAAGAAGAGAUCUAAUAGAAAAAAAUUAGAUUAUAGGUCUGUUCGACCUUUAAAUUCUUACAUGAUUUGAGUUAAGACCGGUGUAAGCCAGGUUGGUUUCUAUCUUCAUAAUAGAAGUUUUUAUAGUACGAAAGGACCUAAAAACUUAAUUUUAUUAAUUAAUUAGCUUAUAUAAAGCAAGUAUUUUGAAAAUACUAGAAAGAUUUAAAAAUUUAUUAAUUUUAUGU
rnacentral:misc_RNA from 1 species